CCUACGGGGGGCUGCAGUGAGGAAUAUUGGUCAAUGGCCGAGAGGCUGAACCAGCCAAGUCGCGUGAGGGAAGACGGCCCUACGGGUUGUAAACCUCUUUUGUCGGGGAGCAAAGCGAACCACGUGUGGUUCAUUGAGAGUACCCGAAGAAAAAGCAUCGGCUAACUCCGUGCCAGCAGCCGCGGUAAUACGGAGGAUGCGAGCGUUAUCCGGAUUUAUUGGGUUUAAAGGGUGCGCAGGCGGAGGUGCAAGUCAGCGGUCAAAUUGCGGGGCUCAACCCCUUCCCGCCAUUGAAACUGGCGCUCUUGAGUGGAAGAGAAGUAUGCGGAAUGCGUGGUGUAGCGGUGAAAUGCAUAGAUAUCACGCAGAACCCCGAUUGCGAAGGCAGCAUGCCGGCUUCCGACUGACGCUGAAGCACGAAAGCGUGGGGAUCGAACAGGAUUAGAUACCCCGGUAGUC
rnacentral:rRNA from 1 species